rnacentral:rRNA from 1 species
GAUGAACGCUGGCGGCGUGCCUAAUACAUGCAAGUCGAACGCUGAAGGAGGAGCUUGCUCUUCUGGAUGAGUUGCGAACGGGUGAGUAACGCGUAGGUAACCUGCCCGGUAGCGGGGGAUAACUAUUGGAAACGAUAGCUAAUACCGCAUGACAGCAGCUACUGCAUGAUAACUGUUUAAAAGGGGCAGCUGCUCCACUACCAGACGGAGCUGCGUUGCAUUAGCUAGUUGGUGAGGCAAAGGCGCACCAUGGCGGCGAACCAGAGCACGCCUGGGAGGGGGGGCAGCCAGCCUGGGAGGGAGACACGGCCCAGACUCCUACGGGAGGCGGCAGGAGGGAAACGUCGGGAAUGGGCGGGAGACUGACCGAAAAGGGCCGCGGGAGGAAAGAAGGUUGUCGGGUCGGGAAGCUCGGUUGUAGGGGAGGAACGAGUGUGAGAGUGGAAAGUUCACACUGUGACGGUAACUGACCAGAAAGGAACGGCUAACUACGUG